GUCCCUGUAGCGCAGUGGACAGCACGUUGGAUUUCUAAUUCGAAGGUCUUGGGUUCGAACCCCACCUGGGAUG